AAAGAAACCAACAGGGAUUGCCCCAGUAACGGCGAGUGAAGCGGCAACAGCUCAAAUUUGAAAUCUGGCUCUCGGGCCCGAGUUGUAAUUUGUAGAGGAUGCUUUUGGUGAGGUGCCUUCCGAGUUCCCUGGAACGGGACGCCAUAGAGGGUGAGAGCCCCGUCUGGUUGGACGCCGAACCUCUGUAAAGCUCCUUCGACGAGUCGAGUAGUUUGGGAAUGCUGCUCUAAAUGGGAGGUAUAUGUCUUCUAAAGCUAAAUACCGGCCAGAGACCGAUAGCGCACAAGUAGAGUGAUCGAAAGAUGAAAAGAACUUUGAAAAGAGAGUUAAACAGUACGUGAAAUUGUUGAAAGGGAAGCGCUUGUGACCAGACUUGGGCUUGGUUGAUCAUCCGGGGUUCUCCCCGGUGCACUCUUCCGGCCCAGGCCAGCAUCAGUUCGCCCUGGGGGACAAAGGCAUCGGGAACGUGGCUCUCUCCGGGGAGUGUUAUAGCCCGUUGCGUAAUACCCUGUGGCGGACUGAGGUUCGCGCAUUCGCAAGGA
rnacentral:rRNA from 1 species